UACGUAGGUGGCAAGCGUUGUCCGGAAUUAUUGGGCGUAAAGCGCGCGCAGGCGGCUUCUUAAGUCUGAUGUGAAAGCCCACGGCUCAACCGUGGAGGGUCAUUGGAAACUGGGGAGCUUGAGGACAGAAGAGGAGAGUGGAAUUCCAUGUGUAGCGGUGAAAUGCGUAGAGAUAUGGAGGAACAGCAGUGGCGAAGGCGGGUCUCUGGUCUGUAGCUGACGCUGAGGCGCGAAAGCGUGGGGAGCAAACAGG
rnacentral:rRNA from 1 species